UCUUGCCGUGAAUCUUGGUCGACGUGUUUAAUUUACCCUCGUUGUCUGUAAAGGCCGGCAUAUACCAUUUCGAUGUAGUUAAGAUAGAUAUUUGUUGAAAAUGCAUUAAAAU
rnacentral:snoRNA from 16 species